rnacentral:rRNA from 1 species
AUCCCCUGGGCCUGCANUGACGCUCAUGNANGAAAGCGUGGGAGCAAACAGGAUUAGAUACCCNUGGAAGUCCACGCCCUAAACGAUGUCAACUGGUUGUUGGGUCUUGACUGACUCAGUAACGAAGCUAACGCGUGAAGUUGACCGCCUGGGGAGUACGNCCGCAAGGUUGAAACUCAAAGGAAUUGACGGGGACCCGCACAAGCGGUGGAUGAUGUGGUUUAAUUCGAUGCAACGCGAAAAACCUUACCCACCUUUGACAUGGCAGGAACUUACCAGAGAUGGUUUGGUGCUCGAAAGAGAACCUGCACACAGGUGCUGCAUGGCUGUCGUCAGCUCGUGUCGUGAGGUGUUGGGUUAAGUCCCGCAACGAGCGCAACCCUUGCCAUUAGUUGCUACAUUCAGUUGAGCACUCUAAUGGGACUGCCGGUGACAAACCGGAGGAAGGUGGGGAUGACGUCAAGUCCUCAUGGCCCUUAUAGGUGGGGCUACACACGUCAUACAAUGGCUGGUACAAAGGGUUGCCAACCCGCGAGGGGGAGCUAAUCCCAUAAAGCCAGUCGUAGUCCGGAUCGCAGUCUGCAACUCGACUGCGUGAAGUCGGAAUCGCUAGUAAUCGUGGAUCAGAAUGUCACGGUGAAUACGUUNCCCGGUC